rnacentral:rRNA from 1 species
AUUGAACGCUGGCGGCAGGCUUAACACAUGCAAGUCGAGCGAGCGGCGGACGGGUGAGUAAUGUCUGGGAAACUGCCUGAUGGAGGGGGAUAACUACUGGAAACGGUAGCUCAUACCGCAUACCAUCAGAUGUGCCCAGAUGGGAUUAGCUUGUAGGUGGGGUAAUGGAUCACCUAGGCGACGAUCCCUAGCUGGUCUGAGAGGAUGACCGUCCACACUUGACCGUAGACACGUUCCAGACUCCUACGGGAGGCAGCAGUGGGGAAUAUGGCACAAUGGGCGCAAGCCUGAGGCAGCCAUGCCGCGUGUAUGAAGAAGGCCUUCGGGUUGUAAAGUACUUUCAGCGGGGAGGCGUUACCCGCAGAAGAAGCACCGGCUAACUCCGUGCCAGCAGCCGCGGUAAUAC